AGGAAGUUUCAGGCAGGGGAUCCAAGAACCGAAAUGUGAACUCAAAAAAUAUUUUAGGUAAGUGUUUCCGUAUUUGUGUGUUUAAAUUGCUUGUGUUACUUAAACAAUGUUUAUAUGAUUAUGUCAGUGUUUUAUUGUACAGUGUAUUUCAAUUGUCCCUUGCCUUCUAUGUCAGUAGUGUACUUUAUCACACCCAAUUUAGUUUGAGUUUGAAGGUUAAUAAUUGAUAAAGUAUUAUUGUAAGUGUACAUGACUGUAAACUCUGUGUGUACUUUACCAUAUUAGCUGAAUUGGGCCUCAAAACCCACUAUUCAAUAGACUAUUCAAGCCAAUAAAAGGCUUGGUUGGAUACGAUGUAACUUUGAAUAAGUAUUUCGGCAUGCUCGAGUAUUACCAUGGAGUAGUAGAUUACUGCUAGGGCCAUCUAAGUUAGAGAAGUAUUUACUAUUUUGAAAGUUAUAAGGAGGAAUUCGGUGGAGUGUGUAAUGCAUUGAAGUGGCUCUAAUGCGAGCAUCAUAUCCUUUCAAUGCGAUUGUUCAGUGAAGUGUUCUUUAUUUUAUCUAGUGAAGUGUUUUUUUCUUGCUUAAUUUUGAUUACGUUUCAUGUGUUUAUUAAUUGUUGAUUGCUUGGGAAACCUCAUUGGGCUUUGCUCGACCCAUUAAUUUGUUUUCCUUCCUGGAGUAAAGGACAGGUGUGGAGAAUAGCCAAAAAUUUAAGCCUGAGUCUUGAAUUGUACGAGGAUGAAUUCUUUUGUACUUAAUGUUAUAGUUUUGGCAGCCUUAUUAUCUUUAAGGACUGUACAUAUUAAAUGUUGUAGCCUAGGACAACUUUACUUAUGUUUGGAAUGUAUCUAAGUAUAAUAGACGGUUAAUGGUUUUAAUUAGUGAAAUGUUAUCUUUGAAACUAAUGUGAGUGAAUGAGUGAGUCUUUGUGAGAGUUAGGCAGGCGGUCCACUUAAUCCUUUGAUUCACCUUAGGAUCCGGCUUAAUCGUCACAUAAACUUAGAGCACAUUUAGCACCCUUAGAUCAUGCCUAAUGAAUUGAUUGAUGAUGCAACGAAUCCUAAACUCACAUCUAUAACUAUAUCAUAUGUAGCACAACAAAUGUGUGUUAGUAAAGUAUAUCAGGUGAGAAAAAAAAAUGAUUCAUAGUGAGAUGCAAAUUUACGCUCUUUCGGAGAUCAGUGGUGUGUAUGGGAGCAUUGGCAAGUGCAAUGUUCGUCAUGUCCAAAUUAGAUUGUGAGUAGCAGAGAAAGCGAAAACUUCAUAGAUGAAGUUCCCUCUAUUUUAGAGAGAAAGCGAAAACUUCAUAGAUGAAGUUCCCUCUAUUUUAGAAAAAAUUCAUAUUGCCUGGAGAGAUGUAGUUAUCACUACAGAAACUGUUCCAUUCUUUUUCAAAACAAGAAUUCAGAAUUUUUAUUUCCAAUGAGCCAAACCAUGAUAAAGUGUCCAUCUUCAAAACAAUUAGCAGCAAGGAUCUCUUGAAAUGAGAUAGAUAGGUUAGGUAUGUAUUAAUUUAACAGAUGACCUAUUUUCCGGUGCUUAUGUAGAACAAAACAUAACACCAUGGUCGUCCAUUAUCCAUGAAACCAACUCUUCAUUUUGUGUUCAAGAGAACAAAAGAAAUGCAAUCAUAUGUGUAGCUCUUUGAGUAGUCCUCAUUAUAUAAUGAUGCAAACAUGUAUAAAAAGCCACCUGUUUCUACGAAUGCCAUCGAUGUGAUAUGUGUAUUAUUCUAUAGCCACUGCUCAAUCAAUGCAAAUGAAAAUAGUGAGGGUUCACUCAUAUAUUUUAGAACCAUUGGAUAUGCUUCAAGGAAAGACCUCUUCACACAAUAAGUUGUCUCUCCAUGAACCUUGUUUAUAGUAGUUGUUGCAUGAAUCUUUUCAUGGUCAAAGGUGCAUAGAUAAAAUUUAAUAUUGUUUCCCUUCUCAACUACCUCCCAUUUUCUAAAAGGGUCUCUUGGUUUAGCCAUAGGUGGUUAAUAUCAAGAGUAUUUUAGUUCUAUAAUUUUAGCAUAUCUCAAAGCUGAUCACUAAAGCAAGGAGCAAAAACAAGGGAAAGUUUGUUGUGCCACCAAAGGAAGAAGAUGUUGAAUGUAUUUUAAAGAGAGGACGAGCAUAGCAUGUUUAAAUAAGAAGUCAAGAUACAAGGACGAGCAUUAAGUACAAGAGCAUUAUAAUUGGUUGAAGAUAUAUGAAACCUCUAGAUAGAGCAAAGUAGGAAAUACCUCACUUAAUACUUCCAAACAAAGCCAACAUACAUAAACUUAUUUAUAACAUGCAAUACUUGGGAAACAAGCAAAUAUUUCGAAAAUUUUCCCAACAAGAUUUGCAUUACUGUAACUACAAUGAUCACAACCAUUAUGUGUUACAUAGUUGACCCAACUAUUCUAUCCUGUAAAGACAAUUUUAACAAAGACAGAUUGUUUUAAAUAUUCUUACGAAAAUAACAAAACACAAGUGGCAUAUUAGCCUUAAAAAUUUGUAGAAAAAAUACAAUAAUUUGGCCUUUACAUGAAUGUCCAAUCUCCAAAACUCAAAUACGAUAGUGGAAAUCCUAAAAGCUUAAGUACAAAUUAUAGAUCAAGGCCUUUACUCCAUAUCAGCCAAGCAAUACUCAUAUAAUGCCAUCCAACUAAAUAAAAAAAUUAUGCUCACAGAAGCUUUCAAAGCUUUACACAUUGAGAAGUAAAUCAGUCAAGGAUUUUUUGAUAAAUAGAACUUAAUUUGUCAAGGAUCAUCUCCAGCUAUUGUCUCACAAGUACACCAUAACCAGAAGGAAGUGUAACUCAUCUACAUUUUUUCUUAGAAACCUCAAUUGUUUCAAAAGUGCAAGUGUAGACAGGCUUAUCCCUAGCCAUUGUCUCACAACCACAUCAGGACCAGAAGGGAAAGCAAAGGAAAUGGCCAAUGGAAAAUUCCAAAAGAAAAAAAAGCUACAGUUCUCAGAAAGAUUCAACCAAGCUCAAGUAAUACUAACAUUAUUCCAUCCAAGUAAAUAAAAUAAAUUUUGGCUCACAGAAGCUUUAAAAAGCUAUACACAUUAACAGACCUACAACAUGAAAGACCCAGGAGAAUGCCAAGCAAAGACAAAAUCACAACCUAGAAAGGCAAGUCCAAAUAUAAGAAGUAAAUAUGAAAAUUUCUGCUUACAAAGGCUGCUAAAAUCUAUGCACAUUAACAGAAUUAUAACACAAAAGACCUACGAGAAUAAACCAAUGAAAAACAAAAUCACAACCAAAAAGAUGACAAGAG
rnacentral:lncRNA from 1 species